UACAGAGGGUGCGAGCGUUGUCCGGAAUCACUGGGCGUAAAGGGCGCGUAGGUGGCGGCCCAAGUCCAUGGUGAAAGCUCGAUGCUCAACAUCGAGUCGGCCACGGAUACUGGGUUGCUCGAGCACUGUAGGGGCAGAUGGAAUUCCGGGUGUAGCGGUGGAAUGCGUAGAGAUCCGGAAGAACACCGGUGGCGAAGGCGGUCUG
rnacentral:rRNA from 1 species